UGAGGAAUAUUGCACAAUGGGCGCAAGCCUGAUGCAGCGACGCCGCGUGGGGGAUGAAGGGGCUACGCCUCGUAAACCACUGUAGCCCGGGACGAAAAACGCCUUAGAGGCGUUAGACGGUACCGGGAAAGUAAGGGUCGGCUAACUACGUGCCAGCAGCCGCGGUAAUACGUAGGACCCAAUCGUUGUCCGGAUUUACUGGGGGUAAAGGGUGCGCAGGCGGAUGGGUAAGUCAGGGGUGAAAGUCUGCAGCUUAACUGUAGAAUUGCCUUUGAUACUGCUCAUCUUGAGUGUGGGAGAGNUUGAUGGAAUUCCAGGUGUAGCAGUGCAAUGCGUAGAUAUCUGGAAGAACACCAGUGGCGAAGGCGGUUAACUGGCCCAUAACUGACGCUCAUGCACGAAAGCGUGGGGAGCAAACA
rnacentral:rRNA from 1 species